rnacentral:rRNA from 1 species
GACGAACGCUGGCGGCGUGCUUAACACAUGCAAGUCGAGCGGUAAGGCCCUUUCGGGGGUACGACGAGCGGCGAACGGGUAGAGUAACACGUGGGUGACCUGCCCUCAGCUCUGGGAUAAGCCUGGGAAACCGGGUCUAAUACCGGAUAUGACUCCAUGACGCAUGUUGUGGGGUGGAAAGCCUUGUGCGGCUGAGGAUGGGCCCGCGGCCUAUCAGCUUGUUGGUGGGGUGAUGGCCUACCAAGGCGACGACGGGUAGCCGGCCUGAGAGGGCGACCGGCCACACUGGGACUGAGACACGGCCCAGACUCCUACGGGAGGCAGCAGUGGGGAAUCUUGCGCAAUGGGCGAAAGCCUGACGCAGCGACGCCGCGUGAGGGAUGACGGCCUGGUUGUAACGU